UGGCUUACUGAAGAUAUAUAAAUGUGGCGGCC
rnacentral:piRNA from 1 species